CGGCGCACGGGUGAGUAACGCGUAUGCAACCUGCCCUUUACAGGGGAAUAGCCCGGAGAAAUCCGGAUUAAUGCCCCAUAGUACCAUAAAGCCGCAUGGUUUUUUGGUUAAAGCUCCGGCGGUAAAGGAUGGGCAUGCGUGACAUUAGCUAGUUGGGGGGGUAACGGCCCACCAAGGCUACGAUGUCUAGGGGUUCUGAGAGGAUGAUCCCCACACUGGUACUGAGACACGGACCAGACUCCUACGGGAGGCAGCAGUGAGGAAUAUUGGUCAAUGGGCGCAAGCCUGAACCAGCCAUCCCGCGUGAAGGACGACGGCCCUAUGGGUUGUAAACUUCUUUUGUACGGGAAGCACGUGCGCUAUGUAUAGCGUAUUGACGGUACCGUACGAAUAAGCAUCGGCUAACUCCGUGCCAGCAGCCGCGGUAAUACGGAGGAUGCGAGCGUUAUCCGGAUUCAUCGGGUUUAAAGGGUGCGUAGGCGGCCCGGUAAGUCAGCGGUGAAAGUUUGCGGCUCAACCGUAAAAUUGCCGUUGAUACUGUCGGGCUUGAGUUCAGAUGAAGUGGGCGGAAUGAGUAGUGUAGCGGUGAAAUGCUUAGAUAUUACUCAGAACACCGAUUGCGAAGGCAGCCCACUAAACUGCGACUGACGCUGAUGCACGAAAGCGUGGGGAUCGAACAGGAUUAGAUACCCUGGUAGUCCACGCCGUAAACGAUGUUCACUCGCUGUUUGCGAUAUAUUGCAAGCGGCCAAGCGAAAGCAUUAAGUGAACCACCUGGGGAGUACGAUCGCAAGGUUGAAACUCAAAGGAAUUGACGGGGGCCCGCACAAGCGGAGGAACAUGUGGUUUAAUUCGAUGAUACGCGAGGAACCUUACCCGGGCUUAAAUGUAGGCUGCAUGAGGUGGAAACACCCUUCCCUUCGGGGCUGCCUACAAGGUGCUGCAUGGUUGUCGUCAGCUCGUGCCGUGAGGUGUCGGGUUAAGUCCCAUAACGAGCGCAACCCCUACCGUUAGUUGCCAUCGGGUGAAGCCGGGAACUCUAGCGAGACUGCCACCGUAAGGUGAGAGGAAGGUGGGGAUGACGUCAAAUCAGCACGGCCCUUAUGUCCGGGGCUACACACGUGUUACAAUGGACGGUACAGAGGGCCGCUACCCCGCGAGGGGAUGCCAAUCUCGAAAGCCGUUCUCAGUUCGGAUCGCAGUCUGAAACCCGACUGCGUGAAGUUGGAUUCGCUAGUAAUCGCGCAUCAGCCAUGGCGCGGUGAGUACGUUCCCGGGCCUUGUACACACCGCCCGUCAA
rnacentral:rRNA from 1 species